rnacentral:rRNA from 1 species
GACGAACGCUGGCGGCGUGCUUAACACAUGCAAGUCGAGCGGAAAGGCCCUUCGGGGUACUCGAGCGGCGAACGGGUGAGUAACACGUGAGUAACCUGCCCCAGACUUUGGGAUAACCCUCGGAAACGGGGGCUAAUACCGGAUACGACACAGCUUCGUAUGGGGUCAGGGUGGAAAGUUGUUCGGUUUGGGAUGGGCUCGCGGUCUAUCAGCUUGUUGGUGGGGUGAUGGCAUACCAAGGAGACGACGGGUAGCCGACCUGAGAGGGGGACCGGCCACACUGGGACUGAGACAGGGACCAGACUCCUACGGGAGGCAGCAGUGGGGAAUAUUGCACAAUGGGCGGAAGCCUGAUGCAGCGACGCCGCGUGAGGGAUGACGGCCUUCGGGUUGUAAACCUCUUUCAGCGGGGACGUAGCGUAAUUGACGGUACCUGCAGAAGAAGCGCCGGCCAACUACGUG